rnacentral:rRNA from 1 species
GUUGGGUAGGGGAGCGUUCUGUAAGCCUGCGAAGGUGUACUGUGAGGUAUGCUGGAGGUAUCAGAAGUGCGAAUGCUGACAUAAGUAACGAUAAUGCGGGUGAAAAACCCGCACGCCGGAAGACCAAGGGUUCCUGUCCAACGUUAAUCGGGGCAGGGUGAGUCGACCCCUAAGGCGAGGCUGAAAAGCGUAGUCGAUGGGAAACGGGUUAAUAUUCCCGUACUGGUGGUAACUGCGAUGGGGGAACGGAGAAGGCUAGGUUGUCCGGGCGACGGUCGUCCCGGUUCAAGCAGGUAGGCAGAGUGAUUAGGCAAAUCCGGUCACUUAAUGCUGAGAUGUGAUGACGAACCACCAAGGUGGUGAAGCAAUUGAUGCCCCGCUUCCAGGAAAAGCCUCUAAGCUUCAGGUUACCAACAAUCGUACCCCAAACCGACACAGGUGGUCAGGUAGAGAAUACUCAGGCGCUUGAGAGAACUCGGGUGAAGGAACUAGGCAAAAUGGUGCCGUAACUUCGGGAGAAGGCACGCUGGCGGUAGGUAAAGUCCCUCGCGGACGGCGCUGAAGCCAGUCGAAGAUACCAGCUGGCUGCAACUGUUUAUUAAAAACACAGCACUGUGCAAACACGAAAGUGGACGUAUACGGUGUGACGCCUGCCCGGUGCUGGAAGGUUAAUUGAUGGGGUCAGCCGCAAGGCGAAGCUCCUGAUCGAAGCCCCAGUAAACGGCGGCCGUAACUAUAACGGUCCUAAGGUAGCGAAAUUCCUUGUCGGGUAAGUUCCGACCUGCACGAAUGGCGUAAUGAUGGCCAGGCUGUCUCCACCCGAGACUCAGUGAAAUUGAACUCGCUGUGAAGAUGCAGUGUACCCGCGGCAAGACGGAAAGACCCCGUGAACCUUUACUAUAGCUUGACACUGAACAUUGAGCCUUGAUGUGUAGGAUAGGUGGGAGGCUUUGAAGUGUGGACGCCAGUCUGCAUGGAGCCAACCUUGAAAUACCACCCUUUAACGUUUGAUGUUCUAACCUAGGCCCAUAAACUGGGUCGGGGACCGUGUCUGGUGGGUAGUUUGACUGGGGCGGUCUCCUCCUAAAGAGUAACGGAGGAGCACGAAGGUUGGCUAAGCAUGGUCGGACAUCAUGCGGUUAGUGCAAAGGCAUAAGCCAGCUUGACUGCGAGAGUGACGGCUCGAGCAGGUACGAAAGUAGGUCUUAGUGAUCCGGUGGUUCUGAAUGGAAGGGCCAUCGCUCAACGGAUAAAAGGUACUCCGGGGAUAACAGGCUGAUACCGCCCAAGAGUUCAUAUCGACGGCGGUGUUUGGCACCUCGAUGUCGGCUCAUCACAUCCUGGGGCUGAAGUAGGUCCCAAGGGUAUGGCUGUUCGCCAUUUAAAGUGGUACGCGAGCUGGGUUUAGAACGUCGUGAGACAGUUCGGUCCCUAUCUGCCGUGGGCGUUGGAAGAUUGAGAGGGGUUGCUCCUAGUACGAGAGGACCGGAGUGAACGCACCACUGGUGUUCGGGUUGUCAUGCCAAUGGCAUUGCCCGGUAGCUAAGUGCGGAAGAGAUAACCGCUGAAAGCAUCUAAGCGGGAAACUUGCCUCGAGAUGAGUCUUCCCUGUCGCUUUAAGCGACCUAAAGGAACGUUUAAGACUAAGACGUUGAUAGGCUGGGUGUGUAAGCGUAGCGAUACGUUGAGCUAACCAGUACUAAUGAACCGUGAGGCUUAACCUG